rnacentral:rRNA from 1 species
AUUGAGCGCUGGCGGCAUGCUUUACACAUGCAAGUCGAACGGCAGCGCGGGGCAACCUGGCGGCGAGUGGCGAACGGGUGAGUAAUACAUCGGAACGUACCCAGAAGUGGGGGAUAACGUAGCGAGAGUUACGCUAAUACCGCAUACGUUCUACGGAAGAAAGUGGGGGACCUUCGGGCCUCAUGCUUUUGGAGCGGCCGAUGUCUGAUUAGCUAGUUGGUAGGGUAAAGGCCUACCAAGGCGACGAUCAGUAGCUGGUCUGAGAGGACGACCAGCCACACUGGGACUGAGACACGGCCCAGACUCCUACGGGAGGCAGCAGUGGGGAAUUUUGGACAAUGGGCGCAAGCCUGAUCCAGCAAUGCCGCGUGAGUGAAGAAGGCCUUCGGGUUGUAAAGCUCUUUUGUCAGGGAAGAAACGGUCGGGGUUAAUACCUCUGGCUAAUGACGGUACCUGAAGAAUAAGCACCGGCUAACUACGUGCCAGCCGCCGCCGUAA